ensembl:lncRNA
GUUUGUAUAAUCUACCUGCAAAGCCAGAGCACUGCUGCAGAUGUGAGUGCUCCCCUUCCCAACUGUUACCCAAGAGAAAGGAAAGAAGUAUUUCUUCAUCCUUUUCUCAGGAGGGAGCUACUGCAAGCCUCAUUUCCUUUAUAUCCUCAGACCAUUGUGGUCACAGCAACAUUAUUAUGAAACACAAAUUGGAAGUGUUAAAAGAGAAACUGAGGUUUCUGUCCUGCCAAGGCCAGAGGAGGAAGCGUGGGGUCAGGUUCAGCCACCUCGCUGGGGCCGGGUGGGCACUCGGUUGGUAGCACCAAGGAGGGGUUUUCUUGUUUCUCACCCAGAAGGUCUUCCUCUUGCCUGAAUAGCAACUGCUAUAGCUUUGUGAAAAAUUCAUCUUAUGGGAGACCGGAAAAUGAUACUGGCUUGCUUCAGGACUCCCCUUAUAAGAAAUUCCUAAGGAAUAUAUAUGAGUUAUCCCAUAUAAAGGCCCGUAGCACUGAGAAUUACAAUGGGAAUGUUAAAAAGCCCAGGAAAUGAGUAAGUCUUUCUGUUUCUCCAUCCACACUCAUGCAAGCCUUCAGGUUGGGAGAGCCACCAAGCCCCCAUCCCUUCCUUCCUGAACACUGCCCCUGAGCCAGCAGUGCUCUGAGCCACAACUGCACACCCUUGUCCCUUUCUGUUUUGAUCAGCUUCCUUUCCAUGAAUGAGGAACAAGGAAAUCAGAUACAAAAGCUCCUUCACCUGCAUGUAACAUUUGAGGCUGCGAUGUGGAAGGAUGCGGCCCUGGGGUGUAAAAGCAAAGUCUUGCUUUUAGCACACAAACCUUUCUGUCCCACGGCACAAAAGCUGCUUAGGGCAAGGGCUGUGGGUUGGUUGGUUGGUGUCUUUUUUUUUUUUUUUUUUAACAAUAAUAGGGUUUUUAAAAUAAUAAUAUGGUAAUAAUAAUACAUAGGAAUCUUCUUUAGCAUACCUUUAGUGUUUGAUGCCCCAGUGACACAAUACUGCUUGCCUUAUAUUAGUGUCUAGAGGGAGAGGGACUACACACGUUUUGAUACCGUAUUAAUCACGCUUGUAAUUUAGGCAGCCCCAAGGAGCGGCUGCUGCAGGAGGAGCAGCCGGGUCCUUUUUAAUGUAUGAAUGUGCUUUCCAGCCUAUCUCACUGACUGUAGUCUCAAUUUUGCCUGCUACUGCAUGCAGCCUGAGAUGAGUAGACAGCAACACGCUCCAGCUGUAUCUGCACUCCCAGAUUGCUGUAGUACCUGGAGGGGGGUGACAUAGCUAAAAGUGUCAGUCUGGGGAGAGGCCAUCCUCCCAGAGACCCAUCACGUAGGGUGCUGCGGUGCUUCUGUAGGUAACACUGAUAUACCAAGUGUCUUUCACGCUGCAACUGAUCAUUGCUUCAUCCCUCCGAUACAGCACGCACAAACUCCCCUUCUUCUACUUGUUAAUAAGGGGUAAAAAACACACAUUUGUAACCUGUGGGCCAUUGAAAUGUGUAUAUGGGGAGAAAAUAAGGAAAAAUAUGUAAAUUUUAUCGGCUGUGGUUAACAAGCUCCUUUCCACCCAAAUGCCUCUGAAGAAGAGCAUCCCAGAUAGCUCUUCCUGAGAGCAUGGAGGAGCAGGCAGAGCAGGGCAGGCAAUGCCAAGGGCAGAGCCCUGGCUGUCAUUUAAGAGAUGCCAUUUGAUCCCACAUGUGUGGGACUUGCCAUAUUUCUCAUUCCCAUAAGGCUCUCUGGUGUACACCUGCAUUGUGCCUGCAGCCAAGCCCAAGGGGCAGGGGAGAAUGCAGCUCCCAGACUUUGGAAACCCUCUUUGGAGAUUUAAUUGACAGCACUUGGGGAUCCUGGGAACCCUGCAGCUGUGCCAUAUUAAUAUUUCACGUAAGCAUUUCUUACUCUCCUUAUGGAGGGGCACUGAGCUGCCUUCAUAUCGCCAUAAAAGAUUUGCCACUGCUAUCACCUGCCAUGAUAGCAGACUCACAAGGCCUUCAGGAUUUGCCCACGUUGCUGAUGUUUGAAGUCUCUUGUAUCUCUUGUGAUGCUGCUGCAAUCAGGUUUGCCAUUGUGUCUUUGCAUUCCUUGUCCAGACCACAUACAAGUGAACAUGCAGUGCCAGAAUUCUGCUCUGAGACUUUCUUCUGGCGUCUUGGAGCAUCUCUAGAUGCCCCAAGGAGCCUUUAUGUCCUGUUAACACAACAGUUUUGCUUUUUCUUGGUCAUUUAUUUGCUUCCUUGUUGAGCUGCCAUGGCUUCAGCACAUCUGUGGUUUAUUCUGCUGAAGCCUCCAGUGCAGGGAUGGAUGGGUCUGCUUUGCCCUUUCAUGCAGCACCCUAUGAGGGUUUGUCCCCUUGGUGAGAGCUGACUGCGGGGAAAUGGGAAUGGGGGUUGAGGUCUGGUUUUUGUACCAAAUUGAAGGUCUCAGAGAAGAGCUCACAGAUUCCAACAGCAUUGACACUUUUGCCCCCUGAAGCAAGAGCUGCUUUCCCCAGCCCCCUUCAGCAGUGCGCGUAUGUGGCUUUGCAUGCCAGCCUUCAGCUUGGUAACAGGGAGACUCUGAAAGCAGCUAGUCCAAGCUGUGCUAUUUCCAAAGCUGCCGGGGAAACUUGAAGCUUCUUCCUCUCUCCUCAUUUCUGCAAAUACAGCCUCAGAUGAAUUGUUCGAGCAGCAUCUGUUUGCCUGGUCCUGAGAAACUUGAGCUAACUGCAGCUACAAAGUUUUCCAAAACUCGUUGCCAAGCUCAGGCUAGAUUUCACCUGCAGCUACACCUGUUAUUUUAGGGCAGUGGUUUCAGGUAGAAGCCAUGCUAAGCUCUCCAGCUGCGGUGGUUCUGGCCCAAAACCAAGGCUGAAUGUCAUGCUGCCGGUGAAGCCUGCCCUGGGAUUUCAGCUCCAUGUGACACUGCUGAGUGUGGCCCUGAGGAAUUGCUGCCUCCUUCCCACUCUGCACAAGGAAAUCUUGGCACAAACCUUGUAAGCCGAGAUGAGACAAUGCCUCUGCAUUUCAGCAUGCUGUGAGCACCUCCCAUUAAGGCAGAAGCGGAGUUUCACUGUAACCUCUUGAAUUUGACCAUCACAGUGAGCAUCACCCAGUAUUUCACAUGUGCAGUGAUGCUCAUGAAAGGGAUUUAUUACAGAUGUGGGUAUAGAGGGCUCUUUCCUCUAGCAUCUUUGUAGACACUGAGUUCAGUUCUUGCUGGUGGAAAACUCAUCAAUGCUGGUGGCAGAUCUCUUCUGUCCUGCCUGGUUAUCCAUGCUGGUCCAGCAUCUCCCCUAGAGCUGAAGCUGCUCCUGUCUGUGGGCGGGACAUGGACCAUCCUGUGUUGGUUACUCUUCCCCACUACCUGACCCCAAGCCCUAAAAUUCAAACUAAGAUUUUAUUUUUUUCCCCCCAAAAUUGACACCAGAUGAGAAAACCUGAGACCUUCAGGAUGCCGGGGGCAAAACAAGGUACAGCUGAUAAUUACAGGGAUUUUGUUAUUUUAAACCAAGAGCAGAAUUUAAGCAUAGUUGCAGUUGCUGCGUGGUAUAUCAAAUGCUUUAGGAGAUUCAAUAAAUUAUUCUCAUAAAUGUUUUAUUCUUUGAUCAGUAAUUUGUAUAGGUGGGUGCUACUGCUCUUACACAGCAAUGCCCCAUACGCUCAAACUGUACUCUUUCUCCACUAUAGCCAUUGUAUGUAUGAAAUUUAUCUUGCUUCGUGUCACCUUGGCACAGUACCCACAUGGACUGCACACGGAUUGCACAUUACAUGCACUUGGCUGAUAGCUGUCCUUACAUGUAAUAGGCGUGUGUGUGUUGAACAGGUUCCAAACAAAGCGUUACCUGCCUGGUUAGUGGUGUAAUUCAGUGUAAGUGGGACAAGGGGAAAACAAAGGUCCUGUUUCGUUAGGAAAUACACCGCAUUCGAAUGCUUCUUUAACCAGAUUUUACCAGGAAGCCAAAUGAAGGGAGAUUGUUUCUGCAAUGUUACUUAAAGACAGCGGAACAAAACCACACAGCUCUGGAAUACUUCACUGCUGUAUUUCUAUCUGUUCUUCACUGCUGUUCAUCCGAACUGUAAAUUCUGUACAGAUUGAAUGAGGUUCGCAGUCUGUCAUGACCUGCGAGAUAGAAGGACAACACGACUUUGGCUGCAGCUGGUGUGUGUUGUUUGCACACAUGCACAUCUUGCUGUACGUGUGUGUAUGCAGACACAUGCACAUAUAAACUUUAAGGCAGAAACAUUCGCAUCUAAGAUGCACGGGGAAAAAAGAGAAGUUCUUUCUUCAGUGGCAGGAGAGUAGGUAAAACCAAAAUAAGAGGCCAUUUUGAUAGCAUUCCUAUCAAAAUUUAAGUCUCCAAUUGUCCCUAUAGUGAGAUUUCAAUGACCUUAAACAAUUUCCCCUCUAGGGUUUAAUUUUGCCCAUGUUUUCACAAAUGAUAAGAGAUUGGAUAGAACUCAUUCUUCUGUGUUUAAUGUAAAAAAAAAGAACCCAAAGCACGAAGAGCUAAAACUUUUCCAGUUAAAUGUUGCUGGAUGCCAUUGAAAAACUCAUAACUAAAUUUUCACUUGAGCCUGAAAUCCACCUCUGGUCCCGAAAUUAUCAGUUAUAAGAGCCAUUUAAAGGUACCGCACCAAAGGUACGCUCACUGCUGGAGCGUGUCACCAUUUCCCUGAGAUACCUUGAAGCUAUCACAGUUUACAGCAGGAUCUGGCUCCUUUGGCCUUAACCGGGCCAGAAAUGGUUCGUGCACUUGUCCUGAGGAUGAGCAGAGAGCUGAACGUUGUGCUGGGAUGGGCUGCUCUCGCGUUGCAGGGAGAAGGUGCUGCACGCGCUCACCUCCCGCCCAUCAUAAUCUCAGGCUCCGUUGAGCACUGAAGUUUGGUUGUCCUUCAGAAAGCAAAGGCAGCUGCUGCUUUGCUUCCUUUCAUUUGCUCUGUUGCCUUGGCUUUUUUGCACUUUUGUUUCAUCUCCAAAGAAUCUCUCAUAAUGCCUUUGGUACUUCUGUACAACUUUCGAACGUUUUGUAUGUAAUUGAAUGGUACACACUUGUAAUAUAGCAAUCAGCCUUUUUUUGGUGAAUGUGUAAUUUCCACUGUACAUUUCCACCAUGACUUUUUGCAAUGUACAUUUUCUAGGGACAGAUGCCAAGGGAACGACCUGUAGUUUUCUAAGGGAACCGCUAGGAGCAGAACGACACAGACACAGAUGGUUUCACAUUAGCACUGCAGAAGAGCAACAUAGCCCAGGCUUUUAGCAUUGAGCACGACUGUCUACGUGUGAUAUUAGAAUCAGCAGCGAUGGUUGCAAUCAGAAGGGAAAUGGAGGAGAAUUAAAUAAUCACACUCAUUAAUUUAAGCCUCGAAGCAUCAGAAUGGAAAAUUUGCAUUCAGUAAAAUUACCAGAGAUUUAACCUUCAUGAGAUGAAAUACA